CAUUAGAUGACCGAAAGAUAAGUGUAGGAUUUUUAAUCCUAUUAUGGUACAAACUACCUCUAAUGA
rnacentral:tRNA from 1 species